UACGUAGGGUGCAAGCGUUGUCCGGAGUUAUUGGGCGUAAAGAGCUCGUAGGCGGUUUGUCGCGUCGGCUGUGAAAGCCCGGAGCUCAACUCCGGGUCGUGCAGUCGAUACGGGCAGACGUUGAGUGUUGCAGGGAGACGUGGAAUUCCUGGUGUAGCGGUGAAAUGCGCAGAUAUCAGGAGGAACACCGAUGGCGAAGGCAGCCCCUGGGUCAAGAUUGACGCUCAUGGCACGAAAGCGUGGGAGCAAACAGG
rnacentral:rRNA from 1 species